UAAUCGCUUAUGCCAAGAAAAAGCGGAAACAUUCAAAAGGGAAUCACUUGUAUGGAAAAGCUGAACGGCGAUGCGAUUCUUCAAUUUCGGAAUCGCGUUCGUGUAUCCUGGAAUCGGAUCAAAAUCAUCGUUUCAUGAACAACGUCGCUUGGAUUCUAAACGGCUCAUGAAGCAUCGCGUUCUUCAUCAUCUUCCGUUGUGACCUUGGUAUCGACACCAUGAUGGUCCAUCUUUGCGUCGCGUUCACCACUUUGCAUCAACGUCCUCUUCUCGCUUCGUCUCCGCAAAACUCCAUUGGACCGGACUCGCGGUUGCAGGAAAGCAAUUUCGGAACGUCCAAUCGCGUCGAGUGACCAUCAUCUGACUCGACUCAUCUUCGCAUGCACCAAGUUUGGGAAAUGCGAUUGCCACCAGGCCGCUAUUGGAUUGAACCUUGCGUAUAGGCAAAAAAGAAACAAAACAAAUUGAGAGAGCUAACCCAAUCGUUCCGUAAACAGAUUGCAGAGUUGAUGCAGAAGUGAUGAUGAUGUGAGCUUGGCGGAUGAUGACUCAGUAGCGGGAAGGUGAAGGAUUCUUGAUGCAGAAAGUGGAGAAGAUCGAUUGCAGAGUCGAGUUCUUUGCAGUGCAAAAAUUCAUGGUGCAGAACGAAGAGGACGGAUUCAGAAAUGGAAAGGCAAGUUGCAGAAAAACGCUGCAAAGUGUAGAAGAGAAGUUUGUGGUAAUGGAGAAAGAAAAAUGUUUGAUCUGUAGUAAGAGGUUAUAUAGGUUUUUACCAUGGGGAGUUGGAUUUUUCAAGGCUACUGCUACCACAGAUGAGUUGACGCAGCUCAAGAUUGCUAUGAAUUUUCUAUGGACCAUUGGAAUCGGAAGAGACUUUGAAUUUCACUAUUAUGGUGACGUGGUUCUUGUUUAUGGAGUGGCUCAGCUGUGCUUGAUGUAGCAGGGUGGAAAAUGGUUAUGCCGGUGUUUUGUUGCUGCAACUUAUUUUUGGCCUGCGAUUCGGUUAUGGACGUAAAUCAAUGUGUGAAAAUCGGUUAGAGUGAUUGUUGUUAUUGUUAGGCGUUUUCCAAUUGUGAUAGUUAGAGGGUUACUUAUGAAAGUGUGUUUUGUGACUCAAUUUUAGAUUGUGUAUUAUGAAAUUAUCUUCAGGUUGAAUGAAAUUAGUUUUUGUAGAA